UAUAAACAUGAAUAUUUAAAAGCACUGGUACUGGAAAUGAUCCAUGUGGAAUAUAGAGGUGACAGAACACUAAAUCCUUUUGGUAUGAAUAUGGAGUGUAAUUGGAGGAAAUCAGUGCUUAAUUGCUGUUUAACCAUUGGUUGCUUGUACUCUGGUUUCAUCCUGUAUCCAGUGACAUGUGAGCAUGAACAUGGAAGAGCCGUUGAAUGAAGUGAAUUUGGAGGAUCUACACAACAAAAUAGAGAAGCUGGAAAAUGAUCUCAUGAAGUUAAAGAAACUUACUACCCAACGACAACAUUUUGAAGUAUACCUAGCUAGAAGUAUAAUCCCGAGAGGCCUUCGUGUUUUGAAAAUGUCCACAUAUGGUGCGCAAUACUCGGAGCUACUGACUAAAUGGCAACAAUUGAAUUUAGAGCAACUGCAGGUUCCAGUUUGAAUCAUUUUGGUGCGGCCCUUCAUCUAGUCCCACAUCUACUACUCCACCACUCCCUUCACUUGCUGGCUUCUUGACCUUAAGACUAUAUGAGGU